UAUAAACUAAGUAAUAUAAACCCCUCUGGACAGUAAUGGAAAGUAAAUGUAUGUCUGUAUGCUUGAUUUAUGUUGGUAAGUGCAAAUGUAUGAGAACUGUAUGUCUGAAAUGAGUGGCUGCUGUACUAUAUAUUUUUAUACACUAUUUUACCAUAGGAUAUCACUUGUAUAUAGUAUUCUGCAUUUGUAUUUCUUUAUUAUGCAGAUUUCUCAGUGGCAACGUUCACCGUUUGAUCAUUGUCACGGUAUUACCAGUUCAGGUAUCACCUAUCUGACUGAAAUUAAGUACGUACAUUCGUACUGAUUAUAAAAUAAACGUCAUCAGCCUCACCCC